rnacentral:rRNA from 1 species
CUACGGGCCGCUGCAGUGAAGAAUAUUGCACAAUGGGGGGAACCCUGAUGCAGCAACGCCGCGUGGAGGAUGACGCAUUUCGGUGUGUAAACUCCUUUUAUAUGUCAAGAAAAUGACGGUAGCAUAUGAAUAAGCACCGGCUAACUCCGUGCCAGCAGCCGCGGUAAUAGGGAGGGUGCAAGCGUUACUCGGAAUCACUGGGCGUAAAGGACGCGUAGGCGGGUUGGAAAGUCAGGUGUGAAAUCCUACAGCUUAACUGUAGAACUGCACUUGAAACUUCUAAUCUAGAGUAUGGGAGGGGGAGAUGGAAUUAGUGGUGUAGGGGUAAAAUCCGUAGAUAUCACUAGGAAUACCUAAAGCGAAGGCGAUCUCCUGGAACAUUACUGACGCUAAGGCGUGAAAGCGUGGGGAGCAAACAGGAUUAGAUACCCUUGUAGUC